rnacentral:tRNA from 1 species
GGCGAGAUAGCCCAACGGCAGAGGCAGUGGUCUUAGAAGCCAUUCAGUGAGGGUUCAAAUCCCUCUCUCGCUA